rnacentral:rRNA from 1 species
ACUAAGCGUACACGGUGGAUGCCCUGGCAGUCAGAGGCGAUGAAGGACGUGCUAAUCUGCGAAAAGCGUCGGUAAGGUGAUAUGAACCGUUAUAACCGGCGAUGUCCGAAUGGGGAAACCCAGUGCAAUUCGUUGCACUAUCGUUAACUGAAUACAUAGGUUAACGAGGCGAACCGGGGGAACUGAAACAUCUAAGUACCCCGAGGAAAAGAAAUCAACCGAGAUUCCCCAGUAGCGGCGAGCGAACGGGGAGCAGCCCAGAGUCUGAAUCAGCUUGUGUGUUAGUGGAACGGUCUGGAAAGUCCGACGGUACAGGGUGAUAGUCCCGUACACCAAAAUGCACAGGUUGUGAACUCGAAGAGUAGGGCGGGACACGUGGUAUCCUGUCUGAAUAUGGGGGGACCAUCCUCCAAGGCUAAAUACUCCUGACUGACCGAUAGUGAACCAGUACCGUGAGGGAAAGGCGAAAAGAACCCCGGCGAGGGGAGUGAAAAAGAACCUGAAACCGUGUACGUACAAGCAGUGGGAGCACCUUCGGGUGUGACUGCGUACCUUUUGUAUAAUGGGUCAGCGACUUAUAUUCUGUAGCAAGGUUAACCGUAUAGGGGAGCCGCAGGGAAACCGAGUCUUAACUGGGCGUUAAGUUGCAGGGUAUAGACCCGAAACCCGGUGAUCUAGCCAUGGGCAGGUUGAAGGUUGGGUAACACUAACUGGAGGACCGAACCGACUAAUGUUGAAAAAUUAGCGGAUGACUUGUGGCUGGGGGUGAAAGGCCAAUCAAACCGGGAGAUAGCUGGUUCUCCCCGAAAGCUAUUUAGGUAGCGCCUCGUGAAUUCAUCUUCGGGGGUAGAGCACUGUUUCGGCUAGGGGGUCAUCCCGACUUACCAACCCGAUGCAAACUACGAAUACCGAAGAAUGUUAUCACGGGAGACACACGGCGGGUGCUAACGUCCGUCGUGAAGAGGGAAACAACCCAGACCGCCAGCUAAGGUCCCAAAGUCAUGGUUAAGUGGGAAACGAUGUGGGAAGGCACAGACAGCCAGGAUGUUGGCUUAGAAGCAGCCAUCAUUUAAAGAAAGCGUAAUAGCUCACUGGUCGAGUCGGCCUGCGCGGAAGAUGUAACGGGGCUAAACCAUGCACCGAAGCUGCGGCAGCGACACUAUGUGUUGUUGGGUAGGGGAGCGUUCUGUAAGCCUGCGAAGGUGUGCUGUGAGGCAUGCUGGAGGUAUCAGAAGUGCGAAUGCUGACAUAAGUAACGAUAAAGCGGGUGAAAAGCCCGCUCGCCGGAAGACCAAGGGUUCCUGUCCAACGUUAAUCGGGGCAGGGUGAGUCGACCCCUAAGGCGAGGCCGAAAGGCGUAGUCGAUGGGAAACAGGUUAAUAUUCCUGUACUUGGUGUUACUGCGAAGGGGGGACGGAGAAGGCUAUGUUAGCCGGGCGACGGUUGUCCCGGUUUAAGCAUGUAGGCUGGUUGUCCAGGCAAAUCCGGAUAAUCAAGGCUGAGGUGUGAUGACGAGGUACUACGGUGCUGAAGUAACAAAUGCCCUGCUUCCAGGAAAAGCCUCUAAGCAUCAGGUAACAUUAAAUCGUACCCCAAACCGACACAGGUGGUCAGGUAGAGAAUACCAAGGCGCUUGAGAGAACUCGGGUGAAGGAACUAGGCAAAAUGGUGCCGUAACUUCGGGAGAAGGCACGCUGGUGUGUAGGUGAAGUCCCUGCGGAUGGAGCUGAGACCAGUCGAAGAUACCAGCUGGCUGCAACUGUUUAUUAAAAACACAGCACUGUGCAAACACGAAAGUGGACGUAUACGGUGUGACGCCUGCCCGGUGCCGGAAGGUUAAUUGAUGGGGUUAUCCGUAAGGAGAAGCUCUUGAUCGAAGCCCCGGUAAACGGCGGCCGUAACUAUAACGGUCCUAAGGUAGCGAAAUUCCUUGUCGGGUAAGUUCCGACCUGCACGAAUGGCGUAAUGAUGGCCAGGCUGUCUCCACCCGAGACUCAGUGAAAUUGAACUCGCUGUGAAGAUGCAGUGUACCCGCGGCAAGACGGAAAGACCCCGUGAACCUUUACUAUAGCUUGACACUGAACAUUGAGCCUUGAUGUGUAGGAUAGGUGGGAGGCUUUGAAGCGUGGACGCCAGUCUGCGUGGAGCCAACCUUGAAAUACCACCCUUUAAUGUUUGAUGUUCUAACGUUGGCCCCUUACCGGGGUUGCGGACAGUGUCUGGUGGGUAGUUUGACUGGGGCGGUCUCCUCCCAAAGCGUAACGGAGGAGCACGAAGGUUAGCUAAUCCUGGUCGGACAUCAGGAGGUUAGUGCAAUGGCAUAAGCUAGCUUGACUGCGAGCGUGACGGCGCGAGCAGGUGCGAAAGCAGGUCAUAGUGAUCCGGUGGUUCUGAAUGGAAGGGCCAUCGCUCAACGGAUAAAAGGUACUCCGGGGAUAACAGGCUGAUACCGCCCAAGAGUUCAUAUCGACGGCGGUGUUUGGCACCUCGAUGUCGGCUCAUCACAUCCUGGGGCUGAAGUAGGUCCCAAGGGUAUGGCUGUUCGCCAUUUAAAGUGGUACGCGAGCUGGGUUUAGAACGUCGUGAGACAGUUCGGUCCCUAUCUGCCGUGGGCGCUGGAGAAUUGAGGGGGGCUGCUCCUAGUACGAGAGGACCGGAGUGGACGCAUCACUGGUGUUCGGGUUGUCAUGCCAAUGGCACUGCCCGGUAGCUAAAUGCGGAAGAGAUAAGUGCUGAAAGCAUCUAAGCACGAAACUUGCCCCGAGAUGAGUUCUCCCUGAGACUUUAAGUCUCCUGAAGGAACGUUGAAGACGACGACGUUGAUAGGCCGGGUGUGUAAGCGCAGCGAUGCGUUGAGCUAACCGGUACUAAUGAACCGUGAGGCUUAACC